rnacentral:lncRNA from 1 species
CCCAUCUGUCACAUGCACUUAUGUUAGAUUUCUCAUAAGCUUUAAAACUGGCAUUGAAUUAACCAACAGACCACUUCAACUACAAUAAUAAUCUUAGUAAUGUUUACAUAUUUUUUAUUAUCUUGCUAUGACUGUAUAUGUUGUUUUUUUGUCUGCGUUGGUUGAAUGCACUGAUUGUCAGUCGCUAUGGAUAAGAGCGGCUGCUGAAUGACCAAAAUGUAAAUGUCAAAAAACAACACUUGCAAAGCAUGCUGGGUAAACAAGUACAAAUUUGGUCGGUGCGGACCAGAUCCAAAUCUGAACGAAUCAUAGAUGUCUAGCUAUGUUUGACAAGUUUGAACAUCACAUUUCAAAAUGGCAGUUUAGUAUAGUAGAGUAUAGUAUAGUAUAGUACGGUAUGGUACGGUACAGAACAAUUGAGUUUUAUUCAGUAGAGUAGAGUAGAGUACAGUAUGGUACAGUAGAGUUAAAUUCAGUAGAGUACAGUGGAGUACAGCAUGGUACAGUACAGUAGAGUUUAAUUCAGUAGAGUUUAAUUCAGAGUACAGUAUUACAGUACAGUAAAGAAAAGUAGAGUAUAGUACAGUAGAGUUUAAUUCAGUAGAGUUUAAUUCAGAGUACAGUAUUACAGUACAGUAAAGAAAAGUAGAGUAUAGUACAGUAGAGUUUAGUUCAGUAGAGUAGAGUACAUUAGAGUAAAGUAGGGUACAAUACAGUCACUAUACUUACAUUUUUUUUACUGUACAGUACAGCAUGGUACAGUAGAGUUUAAUUUAGUAUAGUUUAAUUCAGUAGAGUAUAGUAUUACAGUACACAGUACAGUAAAGAAAAGUAGAAUAUAGUACAGUAGAGUUUAGUUCAGUAGAGUAGAGAACAUUAGAGUAAAGUAGGGUACAAUACAGUCACUAUACUUUAAUUUUCUUUACUGUACUGUGCCGGGGCAAAAAUCUGAUAUCAACUUUGGAGGGGACAAUUACAUGAAAUUUUCUCAAGAGCAAUUCCUGAGGGGGACACCAAAAGUAGUGCAGUAACACAUAGCCUACAUUGUAAUAUGGUAAAUGUAUAUUGAGGAACCAAAGAAAUAAGGUGUUUGCCGUACUCCUAACUACCGGUACCCAAAACUACACAACUAAUCACAACAGCAAUACCAUUGCCUUUAACAAAUCUUAGUUCAGUCACCAGUUUAAGUUGAGAGUGGGGGUAUCCAUGGCAUUUUCCAAUUAUGUUCCUAUUUUACAAGUUAAAAAAAUUGAGAACCUUUCAUAAUGUUGCCAAACAAAGACUCAACAAACUUACCUGAGACUCCCUGUCUCUGCCAGUCUGUCCCUGCAUAUCUGUCCCC